rnacentral:rRNA from 1 species
GACGAACGCUGGCGGCGUGCUUAACACAUGCAAGUCGAACGGAAAUGCCCUGCUUUUGUGGGGUGCUCGAGUGGCGAACGGGUGAGUAACACGUGAGUAACCUGCCCUUGACUUUGGGAUAACUUCAGGAAACUGGGGCUAAUACCGGAUAGGAGAUCCUCCUGCAUGGUGGGGGUUGGAAAGUUUCGUCGGUUGGGGAUGGACUCGCGGCUUAUCAGCUUGUUGGUGGGGUAGUGGCUUACCAAGGCUUUGACGGGUAGCCGGCCUGAGAGGGUGACCGGCCACACUGGGACUGAGAGACGGCCCAGACUCCUACGGGAGGCAGCAGUGGGGAAUAUUGCACAAUGGGCGGAAGCCUGAUGCAGCGACGCCGCGUGAGGGAUGACGGCCUUCGGGUUGUAAACCGCUUUCGGCUGUGACGAAGCGUGAGUGACGGUAACUGGAGAAGAAGCACCGGCUAACUACGUG